CCGCGUUCGCGUGACUGGCGCUAGUGAUGGGGAACCAUCGGGGAGCGUGGACAUCAUAAGCCGCGCGCCUGGGCUCCCUUU
ncrna:Caulobacter crescentus CB15 ZMP/ZTP riboswitch